UCCAGCCGCUGCAGCGCCCGGUCCCUCUCUUCAUUCCGACGCCAACCCAGGUCCUUCUUCAGUCAUCCCCAUCAUGUCAGCUUCUCAAUCUAUAACGGCUCCACCCUCCCACAAUCCUCCCGCCGUUGACCAGUUUUCGGCUUCUUUAUGCUCCACCCUGGACUCUCUAAAUCGCUCCGUUCUGGCUCUGUCCGCUCGCGUUCAAGCCCUGGAAAAUCCCCAUACCGCCACGUCAUCACUGCCUUCAGCUUCACAGUCGGAUCCCCUCCCUCCUCCUCCCACAUUCACACUCGCCAACGCCCGCCCCGGGCCAGCUUCAGGUAAGAUGUAUCUAACCACGUUUCUAUUAUAAUUUUUUUUUUUUUUUUAUAUAUAUACAUUCUGCUCAUUAUGUUUUAUCCCCGCCCCUUCUAUCCAGGCAGUUCAUAUAUUCCUAUGUACUCUAACGUUUCUCCUCGCCUCCGUUCCAAUAUUAUUCAAGGGAAAUAUGUCAAUUUAGUUUCACUUAUCCUCCCCUCCUGUGAAGUCGAACAUCAAGUCGCCUCAGCAGGUGACAUUACAGCCGUUUUCAAAUCAUCCGAUCCCCGCUUAUCCAAAGACCUCACCAUUGGCCAAUUUCUAGCAGCUUUCAGCAUCUACCGAGACACUCUUUGCUCAGUUUAUCCAGACCGCAGGGUCGAGCUUGAUAAGUAUCUCGCAUUAAUAGCAGAUCUUCACAUCAAAUUCGGCAAUAACCUCUUUUAUCAAUAUCACAAAUCAUUUGCCACUAAAGCAGCUGCAAUCUUGGCACAAUCCGGAGUCUGCCUGGACUGGUCGGUUUUGGACACAGAUCUACUAAUCAUGUUGACCCAGUCCAUCCCCUGUUCUGCCUGUCAUUCAACCGGCCACCUCAGCGCGUUCUGCCCAUCUAUACCCUUUAGGUCUACCACUCAAUCUAUUUCUCCUCUGUUCUCUUCUACUCUUGCCCAGCCCACAGACCGCCGAGGUAGAAAUGUCCAGGUAUUCAACUCCAGACCCAUCUGCAAUAAGUUCAAUGAAAGUCUUUGCACCUUUCCUAAUUGCAGUUUUCUCCACAUUUGCAGCCAUUGCAAAGACGCGCAUCCCAAGUCCGUCUGUCCCCGCCGUGCUCUGUUCAUGAGAAAUCGUACCUCCAAACAUUAAUAGCCCAUCAUCUUUCCACGCCCAUCAUUAUUUCUGAGUUGGCGAUUUGUCUUACCCAUCAUCCCGACCGCACUUUCGUCAACUUCCUUCUUACCGGUCUUUCUCAAGGUUUUCACGUCGGAGUCUACAACCCCCCCUCCCUCACCCACGUCUCCCCCAAUCUCCAAUCCGCUUUAAAAGAACCAGACGUUGUAGAUCAGCUGCUUCACAAAGAAGUGUCCAAGGGUUUCAUGAUCGGUCCUUUCAAAACUUCUCCGUUUGCUCCUUUCCGUGUGAGCCCUCUAGGGGUAGCUACCCGCAAAUAUUCGGGGAAAAAGAGGGUCAUUUUGGACUUAUCUGCCCCUCAUUCUGGCCCUCACUCCUCCAUAAAUAGCAUCAUCCCUCUUUCCGCCUUCUCUCUUCACUACGCUUCUGUAGACCAUGCUAUUUCUCUGAUUAAGAUCACCGGCCAAGGGGCCUGGCUGGCUAAAGCAGACAUUUCUGAUGCUUUCAAAAUCGUUCCCAUUCACCCUUCUCAAUGGCACCUGUUUGGAGCUAAAUGGAAGUCCCUGUUCUACUUUGCUGUCCGUCUCACCUUCGGCUGCAGAAGCAGUCCUUGUCUCUUCGACAAAGUCUCAGAAGCUCUGUGUUGGAUUCUCCUUAACGUUACUCGUUUGCCUUGCGUUCUUCAUCUCCUGGACGAUUUUCUACUCAUAGAUCCUCCCUCCACCCAGCCCAGUUCGUCACUCCUCAAACUAAAAAAGCUCUUUACCCCACUUGGUGUUCCCCUGUCCGAAGAAAAAACCAUCGGCCCUGCUACUAAAAUUGAGUUUCUAGGCAUAGUUCUCGAUUCAGUGGCCAUGAUGGCAUCUCUGCCCGCAGACAAGCUGUCUCGGAUUCGUGAGAUUUCUCAGUCUUAUAGCUCUGCAUCUAUCAUUUCCAAACGUCAGCUGCUUUCUUUGCUUGGUCACCUUAAUUUCGCCAUGCGCAUCAUUCCACAAGGUCGUUCCUUCAUUUCCCGACUGCUUGACCUAGCUAACUCUGUUCCCUCUCUCCUAGAUCAGGUUUCUCUGGACGAAGGCUGCCGUUCCGAUCUUCGCUUCUGGGCUAGACUUCUUUGUAACUGGAACGGCAAAUCAUUUUUCUAUGAUGACAUCAUUCAAUCCGCCUCUAUGCUCCAAUUUUUCACGGAUGCUGCCCCAUCCGUAGGUUUUGGGGGGUUCUUUCAGGACAGGUGGUUUGCUGGUUCGUGGCCUCCCUCUUUUACUAACUCUCAAUCAUCUGCGCUAUGCGAGGUUUACCCUAUAGCCGUAGCUUGCCGUCUGUGGGGCCCGCUUUGGAGGAGAAAGCGUAUAUCCGCCUUCUGCGACAACAUGGCAGUCGUUGACGCCAUCAACAAAGGUCGCUCCUCCUCUCAUUCUCUCAUGCCAUUCAUUAGAGGCAUAACUUGGCAAGCGGUCACCAAUAACUUCAUCAUCUCUGCUCGACACGUUCCUGGUCUUUCUAACCAUGCUGCCGAUGCUCUUUCUCGUUUUAAAUUUCAGACCUUCCAUCAUCUUCGUCCUUCUGCCGAUCUCCAUCCGACCCCCGUUCCUCCGCUAGAGGAACUCGUCCUCAAUUAACUCACUCUCUUCGUUCCUACUUACUUUCCUCCAGUUUCUACAUAAAAUCAGGUUUAGCUCCCUCAACCCUCAGAACUUAUAAUUUUGCAUGGCAAAUUUUUGCCAAAUUUUGUUUGAGCCUCCACAUUCCUUUAUAUCCAUUACUCAUUACAUCUGUCUUGGCUUUCAUUUCGUACUGCUUCGACAAACGCAAUUUUAAACUUUCUUAUAUCCGCAGCUUACUAGCUGGCAUUAAUUUUUUUUCGAAAUGCCAUAAUCCCGAUUCUCCUAGUCUUUUCAAAAACCCCUCCAUUAAGCUCCUUCUCAAAGGUUUGGCAAAACAUUCUUCUCAUGUAUCUGAUUCACGUAAACCCAUAACCUUCCCUAUCCUCAAGAGGCUUUUGUCCUCACUUUCGUUAAGCCCCUACUCUUCCUACGUUAAGUCCCUUUUAUCAGCUACUUUCUCUCUGGCUUUCUAUGGCUUCUUGAGAGUAGGCGAAUUCACUUCUACUAAUAGUCGUUUCGAUCCUUCCCGACACUUGUCUCUUUCAGAUCUUCGUUUCCAUAUUGAUCAUUACAAAAUAUCUUUGAAACAUUCUAAAGGGAAAGGCCCAUGUUCCAUUUCUAUCGCACGUACAGAUGGCCCCUUUUGCCCGUUUAUCAUCAUGUUUAAAUUUGUCCAAAAGCGCCAAAAGUUUUUUCCUCAUUCCAAAGCCCUUUUCGUCACGCCUGAGGGUUCCCCCAUGUCAGCACGCUGGUUUCAAGAUCAUCUUCGUAUGCUAUUAGAAUACUGUGGCUUUUCAUCCAGCCAUUACUCCAGCCACUCAUUUAGGAUAGGGGCAGCCACAACAGCAGCCGCUCGCGGAGUCUCCGUAGCUUCUCUCCAGCAGUUGGGCCGAUGGACUUCUUCAGCCUAUACCUCCUAUAUCCGCCCCGAACACUCUUCUAUCUUAUCAGCCCAACGCUCCCUCUGUCUUUAAGAUUGAAAUGAAGCUAAAGCGGAAAUUCAACUGAAGAAACUCUGAUUACUUUCAUUCUAUCUGAGGCUGAUCCACCUCCGAUGCAGCCAAUCCGCUUCAAGCUUCGCCCAAUUAUCUACCAGCACUCUCCUUAAAAGCCACUCCAAACCAUCUCUGGACCUGCUCUUCAACAAGCGCAAGAUCCGUCGCUAUGUCGGACUUUGAUUCAGACAACCCGCCUCCAUCCCCUUCUCCACCAUCGUAGCAAGCUCAUCCGACUCCUCCUCGAAGCUACU